UACGUAUGGGGCAAGCGUUAUCCGGAUUUACUGGGUGUAAAGGGAGCGCAGGCGGCCUGGCAAGCCUGAUGUGAAAUACCGGGGCCCAACCCCGGGGCUGCAUUGGGAACUGCCAGGCUGGAGUGCCGGAGAGGCAGGCGGAAUUCCUAGUGUAGCGGUGAAAUGCGUAGAUGUUAGGAGGAACACCAGUGGCGAAGGCGGCCUGCUGGACGGUGACUGACGCUGAGGCUCGAAGGCGUGGGGAGCAAACAGG
rnacentral:rRNA from 1 species